CCUACGGGAGGCAGCAGUGGGGAAUAUUGCACAAUGGGGGAAACCCUGAUGCAGCGACGCCGCGUGAAGGAAGAAGGAUUUCGGGAUGUAAACUUCUAUCAGCAGGGAAGAAAAUGACGGUACCUGACUAAGAAGCCCCGGCUAACGACGUGCCAGCAGCCGCGGUAAUACGUAGGGGGCAAGCGUUAACCGGAUUUACUGGGGGGAAAGGGAGCGUAGGCGGUGCAGCAAGUCAGAAGUGAAAGCCCGGGGCUCAACUCCGGGACUGCUUUUGAAACUGUUGAACUAGAUUGCAGGAGAGGUAAGUGGAAUUCCUAGUGUAGCGGUGAAAUGCGUAGAUAUUAGGCGGAACCCCAGUGGCGAAGGCGGCUUACUGGACUGUAACUGACGCUGAGGCUCGAAAGCGUGGGGAGCAAACAGGAUUAGAUACCCCGGUAGUC
rnacentral:rRNA from 1 species